ACCUUCCGUUUUCCGGAUAUUAGAGAUCUCUUUUACGAUCCUCUUCAAUGGUUCCUUUGACAAACGGUUUCUUUGUAGGACACGAAUUUUCCCCCUAACUCCCCCAAUCUCAGAACUUUCUCCGAUCCUCCAUCAACGAAGAAGAUCGAGUAGUAAUUAAUCGUUGGAUCGACUUUUUCUCGUGACAGAAUAGUCAUCGGAACAAUGUCCCUUGCUCGGCCUCAUCAUGCAGAUAAUACUCAAUUCCCCGGUGAUUUUAGAUUUACCUUUGGACGAAAUUACCCUCACGUAUAUUCCUCCGCCUCCACAGACUUCACUACCAACAGGCGUUACAACAAUAACAAUAACCAUAGAAGAAGCUACAACAAUUCCCAUGACUUCUCAAAUGAAUCCAGACAUCAAUACAACAUUUAUAAUCACAUUGAUCCCGAAGUUUUACCUUCUCUUAAAAGGAGGAAGUUUUCUUCCACCAAUUGGGAAGGUUAUGGUACAUCUUAUAAUCAUAACAACAACAACAACAACAACAACAACAACAACAACAACAACAAUAAUCAUAAUCAUAAUCCAUCUUUCAAAUAUGAAUAUUCUCCUUCAAGCUCCAAGAUUACAUUCCCUCUUCCUGAUGGAAAUGCUAAAGUUUCCACAUCCACUAGCUACAAACGUGAUCGAACAAGAUUUGAAGAUGAAGAUGUUGAAUUUAUGUCAAGGGAUCAGAUUGAGAGGUUUUCUCCUUCCAGAAAAGAUGGUAUUGAUGCUUUACAGGAAACUCACUUGCGCUACUCUUACUGUGCUUUUCUUCAGAACCUUGGACUUCGCCUUGAGCUCCCACAAACUACUAUUGGAACUGCUAUGGUUCUAUGCCACCGGUUUUUUGUCCGGAGGUCUCAUGCAUCCCAUGACAGAUUUCUGAUUGCUACUGCUGCUCUUUUUCUUGCUGCAAAGUCGGAGGAGACACCAUGCCCUCUGAAUGAUGUAUUGAGAGUGUCCUCUGAAAUUUUCCACAAGCAGGAUUUCAAUGUGCUCUGCUAUUUGCUCCCUAUGGAUUGGUUUGAUGAAUACCGAGAACGAGUGCUUGAAGCUGAGCAAAUGGUUUUGACAACUCUAAACUUUGAGCUGAAUGUGCAGCAUCCAUACACACAUCUGACAUCCAUUCUUGACAAAUUAGGGCUUGCACAAUCACUUUUGGUAAACCUGGCAUUGAGCUUGGUUAGUGAAGGGGGCAAUAGAAGAGUGUAGCAUGCACAGAGUGUAUGAUUUUGUUAGCUGGUGGAUUGAUAGAGUUUUAUUUCUCAUCUCAUCUCAUCUGAAGUUGAAAGACAGAUAGUGUUUGGAUGCAGUUUUCAAUCAAAAUUUUUUCCUAACUUAAUCUCGCUAAAAGUUACAAUUUUUUGCCCCACCAUACACUUGCUCUUGAUCUCUCGUUUGAGCAAAAGACGUGAAUGCCCUUCUCAUAAGCAAUAGCUCUAGAAAGCUUCUAGAGUGAAGGUUAACAUAGUUUUUGAGAUCUCAAAAGGCAACCCUAUUUAGACUAGGCAGCAGGGGUGGAUCUAGUUGAAGAGAUGGAUGCUCAAUUUAUUAUUAUUAUUUAUUUUUUGUAGUGUAAAGCUAAAAUUACAAGAAAAAUUUGCUGUUUGUUUGCAUAGUCACCAGCAUGCUGCUUUAUCCAGAUACCAUUAGAUUAGCAGCCUAAGAUUUGCAUAUUAGCAAAGAGAAUACCUGAUAAUAUGAGGUGAAUAGGAUUCUAUCACACGUUUGGAAAUCAUGAGUGAGGAGGGAAAGCGGAGGUGAGAGAUAGAGAGACAUUAACUUAUAAAAAUAUAGGGUUAAGAGGGUAAUGAGUUAUAUUUUUAACAAGGAAGGAGGAAAUGUUGAAAAAUGAAAUGAAAUCCAUGGGUUUUAAGAUGGGAUCUUCAUACUCAUUUUUAACCAAGCGCAGGAUUUGAUAUCCAAUUCUUUGCCAAAUCCAAUUUAGUUGCCAGUUAAGCUGUAUAAGCUUCAUCAUCAAAGUGGGCAUUGUACUAGAUUUUGUGUUGUAGAUGUCUAUUUUAUGCUCAUUCCAUCAGCAAUUCUGAAGAUACUUGGAAAAUGUACACCAGAUGCACAUGCUAUGCCUUUCUUUGUUGGUAAGAGAAAAUUGCAUUUGAUUUCACACCUGCCAUCACAUCACAUCACAUAACUAACUAACUAACUACUCAUCUCUAUGGUAAUUACUGCUAAACUAAAACUUGAAGCUCAUAUUCGUGCCAGAUCUUCAUCAUUCCUUCUAUUGCUACAAAAUGGCUGCGUAGCUCACUUUGGCUUCAAUUCAAACCCCACCAGAUUGCUGCUGGAGCUGCAUACCUUGCUGCAAGAUCUUUAAAUAUGGAUCUUACUACGUAUCAAAAUGUUUGGCAGGAGUUCUACACAC